AAUUACUGAUAAGAAGAUCCCUAUUUGUUUCUUAUUAUUUGUAUUUGGUUAUUAAAACUCAAUACUUACUGUUCAACUUUGGUGAGUGACAGGAUGAGUCAACAACUCUGGCUGAUAUGAAGAGAGUAUGGCUUUCUAAGAAGUUUUCCUAUAUUUAUGAAGCUUUUCCUUCUACCAACCUGGCCUUCUUUAUGCAAUCUCUGUAUGCUCAUUGUAUAGGUACAUCUUUAGCUGGUAUAUAUGGUAAUCUUACUUAUUUUUAUAUCUAAAACUGGUAAAUGCAAACUAUUCACUUGAGUUCAGGAUUUUUCUGGUAAUUUGGAUGUUGAAUGGUUUUGUUUUGAUGCUGAAAAAUAUUUCCAAAAGUAAAGGCAGUGAAGCAAACAGAAUUGAAAUUCAUAAUAAAUUUGUGACAAUUCACCAGUAUUUCAUAAUUAUGCCAUUUUAAGUAUAAUAGUUUUACUUUAUUAGCCUUUAUCUUUUUUAUUUCAUUAUAGAAACUCCUCUAUGUUCCUUUUGAUGUUCCUAUGCAGGUUACAUGGUUGGUGCCGGUUCUUUAUCAGUCCGACUGGGCGGCCUUUCUUAAGCACAAAAAUGAAUGCUUGUUAAGGCUGAGACGCUAAUCAGAUCAUUCCCCUUUAAACCCUCUAAAUAGCACAAAAUAAGAAUAUUACUGAGUAAAGUAUUCUGUGAUAGUUUGUACUUCAAAGUUCAAACAUGACAUUCAAAAGGACUAUGUAAUUUCAUUCUUUGACCGCCAUUCUCAUAAUGCUUUUGUGGGUCGGCUGAACCAUUAUUCAGAAAAUUCUGAGUCAGUAAUAACAGACUCUUGUUAGUUGUUAAUAAAUUACUGAUAAGAAGAUCACUAUUUGCUUCUUAUUAUUUGUAUUUGGUUAUUAACCAUCAAUACUUACUGUUCAACUUUGGUGAGUGACAGGAUGAGUCAACAACUCUGGCUGAUAUGAAGAGAGUAUGGCUUUCUAAGAAGUUUUCCUACAUUUAUGAAGCUUAUCCUUCCACCAACCUGGCCUUCUUUAUGCAAUCUCUGUAUGCUCAUUGUAUAGGUACAUCUUUAGCUGGUAUAUGCGGUGUUGAUCUUACUUAUUUUUAUAUCUAAAACUGGUAAAUGCAAACUAUUCACUUGAGUUCAGGAUUUUUCUGGUAAUUUGGAUGUUG
rnacentral:lncRNA from 1 species